UGAACCACGUUGGAGAAGCAGGGCACAUGCUUGAUUUUAUCAAAGUUCUGAGCAUGUGCUCUUGCUCUCCAUCAUGGAUUU
rnacentral:pre_miRNA from 14 species